ACAGCCACAUCACGUUGAAACACCGGUUCUCGUACGAUCGCCGAAGUUAAGCAACGUCGAGCCUUGUCAGUACCUAGAUGGGUGACCGCUUGGGAAUACCAGGUGCUGUAA
rnacentral:rRNA from 1 species